rnacentral:rRNA from 1 species
AUUGAACGCUGGCGGCAGGCCUAACACAUGCAAGUCGAACGAGUGGCGGACGGGUGAGUAAUGUAUGGGAAACUGCCCGAUGGAGGGGGAUAACUACUGGAAACGGUAGCUAAUACCGCAUACUAUCGGAUGUGCCCAGAUGGGAUUAGCUGGUAGGUGGGGUAACGGCUCACCUAGGCGACGAUCCCUAGCUGGUCUGAGAGGAUGAUCAGCCACACUGGAACUGAGACACGGCCCAGACUCCUACGGGAGGCAGCAGUGGGGGAUAUUGCACAAUGGGCGCAAGCCUGAUGCAGCCAUGCCGCGUGUGUGAAGAAGGCCUUCGGGUUGUAAAGCACUUUCAGCGGGGAGGCGUUACCCGCAGAAGAAGCACCGGCUAACUCCGUGCCAGCAGCCGCGGUAAUUC